CCGUGGUAAUUCUAGAGCUAAUACAUGCUAAAAAUCCCGACUGUUUGGAAGGGAUGUAUUUAUUAGAUAAAAAAUCAACGCUCUUUGAGCUCUUUGAUGAUUCAUAAUAACUUUUCGAAUCGCAUGGCCUUGUGCUGGCGAUGGUUCAUUCAAAUUUCUGCCCUAUCAACUUUCGAUGGUAGGAUAGUGGCCUACCAUGGUUUCAACGGGUAACGGGGAAUAAGGGUUCGAUUCCGGAGAGGGAGCCUGAGAAACGGCUACCACAUCCAAGGAAGGCAGCAGGCGCGCAAAUUACCCAAUCCCGACACGGGGAGGUAGUGACAAUAAAUAACGAUGCAGGGCCCUUUCGGGUCUUGUAAUUGGAAUGAGUACAAUGUAAAUACCUUAACGAGGAACAAUUGGAGGGCAAGUCUGGUGCCAGCAGCCGCGGUAAUUCCAGCUCCAAUAGCGUAUAUUAAAGUUGUUGCAGUUAAAAAGCUCGUAGUUGAACUUUGGGCUUGGUUGGCCGGUCCGCCUUUUGGCGAGUACUGGACCCGACCGAGCCUUUCCUUCUGGCUAACCAAGUGCCCUUGUGGUGCUUGGCGAACCAGGACUUUUACUUUGAAAAAAUUAGAGUGUUCAAAGCAGGCGUUUCGCUCGAAUAUAUUAGCAUGGAAUAAUAGAAUAGGACGUUAUGGUUCUAUUUUGUUGGUUUCUAGGACCAUCGUAAUGAUUAACAGGAACGGUCGGGGGCAUCAGUAUUCAGUUGUCAGAGGUGAAAUUCUUGGAUCUACUGAAGACUAACUAC
rnacentral:rRNA from 1 species